UCAUCCACUGUAACUCCAGGUCUUUUUCUGCAGAAUUGCUGUUGAGCCAUUCGGUACCUAGUCUGUAGGGGUGCAUGGGAUUCUUCCGUCCGAAGUGCAGGACUCUGCACUUGUCCUUGUUGAACCUCAUCAGAUUUCUUUUGGCCAAAUUCUUUAAUUUGCAUAUGAUAUAUAAAU